rnacentral:tRNA from 2 species
CAGAAGGUAGUUUAACGAUAAUCUUGACUUUGGGGGCCAAGGGUGAAAGUUUGAAUCUUUCUUUUCUGA